rnacentral:sRNA from 1 species
GACAGGGUCAUCCUGAGGGUGCGACGCCGCCGCGAUGGUGACCCGGUUCCUGGGCCCACGCUACCGGGAGCUGGUCAAGAACUGAAUGCCAUCAAGACACACGUGCAAAUAUUCCUGCCCUGUUGGUGGCAUCUGCCUCCGAGCCAGGUUCCAGGAGCAGCUGUGCGUGCCCCCAGCUGGUGAGCGGGCACCUGGCCUGCACUUGGAGAGUCUCUGGGUCCCGACGGCCUACACAUGGGGCGCUGUGGGCGCCGUGGGGCUGGUGUGGGCCACCGAUUGGCGGCUGAUCCUGGACUGGGUACCUUACAUCAAUGGCAAGUUUAAGAAGGAUAAUUAAUUACACAAACCCUUCACAGACUGCUCUGGUGCCUGGUGGCGCCAGCUCCUCCCACCUCAGCACCUGCUGCAUCUGGAGCAGCCCAAGCCUCAGGAUGGACGAGAGGAAACCCACAGCUCAGCUUCAGGCUUCUUAUGUUUCUGAAAACAGCUUGGAUAUUUUAAUGCACGUUGCAUUAAACCUCACUGAAACCUG